rnacentral:lncRNA from 1 species
CUUUGCAGGCACUGGGAAGGGCACUCAUCUGAGCAGGCUCACCCACACCUCAAGCCAAGGCCUCUAUCCAUGUAGAUUCUGAGGUCCUGAGUACCACCCAUGCCAAAGACUUCUCAGAAAUCAGCCCUGGGAAACUCAGCCAAUGCUGGAGGGGACUGAGUGCUAAAGUGUGGGGUUAGGAGAUCAGAUCUGGAGAAUAGACUGCUGUUGGAUGCAUGGAUACAACAGAGGGAACAGGAAUGAGGGG